rnacentral:miRNA from 1 species
AGGUUAUGCAGGCGAAGGAAUA